UACGUAGGGCGCAAGCGUUGUCCGGAAUUACUGGGCGUAAAGAGCUCGUAGGUGGUUUGUCGCGUUGUUCGUGAAAACUCACAACUCAAUUGUGGGCGUGCGGGCGAUACGGGCAGACUGGAGUACUGCAGGGGAGACUGGAAUUCCCGGUGUAGCGGUGAAAUGCGCAGAUAUCGGGAGGAACACCGGUGGCGAAGGCGGUUCUCUGGGCCUUACCUGACGCUGAGGAGCGAAAGCGUGGGUAGCAAACAGG
rnacentral:rRNA from 1 species